UUGGAGAAGCAAAAUGAGUUGGAGGGUGGUGUUAGCAGAUGUGGUGAUGAAUGUUGCAGUGGAGGAGGUCAGGUAGAUCAACAGAACAUGGACAGAAGAUGUCAAUCUGGUGAUAAAAUACAAUAUGAUGCUAUCCUGACUGAUACACCUUCCAAACAACACCAGGAUGCAGGACAUUUGGAAGCACACAAAAUCAUGAAAGAGAGUGUAGAGGCAGUUGAAGAGAGUGAAGAAACGAUGGAUGAAAUACAGAAUCAGGAACAAGCGCACAAAAGUGGAAGAUGCCAAUCUGGUGAUAAAAUACAAUAUGAUGCUAUCCUGACUGAUACACCUUCCAAACAACACCAGGAUGCAGGACAUUUUGAAUCACACAAAAUCAUGAAAGAGAGUGUAGAGGCAGUUGAAGAGAGUGAAGAAACGAUGUAUGAAAUACCGAAUCAGGAACAAGCGCACAAAACCACAGAGAAAAUCAUGUGCAAAGAAUCUGCUCCGCAGGUGCAUACGGAAGCUAAAAGAAAAGUUGGAGAUACUACUGCUUCCACUUGCAUGGACAAUAAUACUAUCUCAGAGAAAGUAAUUGGAGCACAGCCACCAGGUGUUAAUGCCCCUAGCAGAUCGCUUAGGAAAAAUAAGUCGGUCCAUAUCGAAAAAGGUAGUACACGCUGCAAGCCUUCGAAAGUUGCAACGCCUCCUACAAUAUUGUAAGUAAUUGUUAUACUAGUCUUUUGGAGACUGUAGGAAGAUAUGCAGGUCUUGUUAAACUUGAAGUAUUGUAGGUUCAGAUAGUAGUAAGUUUGAUGUUGUAUAUAAUUGUUAUUCAACUGUUCUCUUUUGCAGCACAAAGUUACCAGCUCUUAAAGAGAAGCGCAAACGGUUAGCUUGGAAAGUGGAAGAGGAGGAGAUGCUGAAGGUACUGUCUCUAGAUUAAGUGUUUGUCUGUUAUUGAACUACCAUGUAAUUACCGUGACUGUAUAAUUAGAUGAUGUCCCACUGUACUCAUGAAAUUUCUUGAAUAUUGUUGCUGCUUAAUAUCUUUGAGUAAUAUGGGAAGCCUCCUACCAGGACUAGCUACCUAUGUUGCCUGCACUCAGAUAUGGAGUGUUGGAUACAACACAUAUCCAAGGCGAAACACUCUUACUCUGGAAUAUAUGAAAAUUGGUGAUACGGAACCUGACCUGAUUUUGGAUAAGAUAUCUUAGUAAGAUUAAACAAAAAUGUAAAAAGGAAUCUGAGAAUUAGAAAUAAUCUUUUCUUAAACUACCAAGGAGGCUUCUCAUAUUUCUUUUUCUCCUUUUCUUUUUCCUUUUACUUCCGCAUUUUCUUCUGCAUCCUCAGUUCAUCUCUUAUGUGGUCUGUAAGUUGGUCAAAGUGUCCAACGUUCAGUUGAAGGAUCUAGCAUGACUAAGUGUUCUGUGCAGGGGUCUGACACGUGUACAACAAAUGAGUCCCAGUAACAUAGGUAAAAGUUACAGUUUCUUUACCUAGGUAAAAGGUACAGUUUCUUUACCUUUGAUGGUUUUGAUAAAUUACAAGCAGAGAUCAUUUUAAUAGCAGAUAUAUCUCCUCUGGUUCGCAGAAAUUCUGCAUACUAAAGCUGAUUUUUGUCUUGCUUACUAUUAAUUUUAGCGUCUCCAGUAAGAAAAUAAGUAACAUGCAAUUCUUUCUAUAACAGUGGGAAAAUAGAAGAGACUAACUUGAUUCAUGAAAGCACACACUAGAAAAACCCAUAAAUAUAUAAGUCAAAAUAUUGUGGUACAUGAGCAAUCGUGAAUCUUCAAGUAGAAUUAAAGUUUCAGCCUCUCCGUUACUAUCUAAGUUGAACUAGAAUAUCACUAUAUGCUAAUAGAUUUGCUGCAGCUUGUUAAUUGUUUGGCCUAAAAUACAAUAUGAUACUAUCCUGACUGAUACACCUUCCAAACAACACCAGGAUACACGACAUUUCGAAGCACACAAAAUCAUGAAAGAGAGUGUAGAGGCAGUUGAAGAGAGUGAAGAAACGAUGGAUGAAAUACAGAAUCAGGAACAAGCGCACAAAACCACAGAAAAAAUCAUGUGCAA
rnacentral:lncRNA from 1 species